rnacentral:rRNA from 1 species
UACGGAGGGUGCAAGCGUUGUUCGGAAUUAUUGGGCGUAAAGCGUGCGUAGGUGGUUUGUUAAGUCUGCUGUGAAAGCCCCGGGCUCAACCUGGGAAUGGCAGUGGAUACUGGCAAGCUAGAGUGCGGUAGAGGGUAGUGGAAUUCCCGGUGUAGCGGUGAAAUGCGUAGAGAUCGGGAGGAACACCAGUGGCGAAGGCGGCUACCUGGACCAGCACUGACACUCAGGCACGAAAGCGUGGGGAGCAAACAGG